rfam:Brachypodium distachyon strain Bd21 chromosome 3, whole genome shotgun sequence.
UCGUCAAGGUUAAAGGGAGAAGAGAGAGAGUACAGCCUUAAUUAAGCUCGAUCGAUCUGUCUUGUAUCAAGGCUGUACCCUCUCUCUUCUUCUCUUAGCUUCUUGAUGC